UAUACAUGAAAUCUCCAAGUACAAUUCCUAUUUCACAGUGAGCUCUCCAGCUCCCCUUUAUAUACUGAAAAGUCACCUCAGCCUUUCCUCCUUCAGGCUGAACAGCCCCAGCUCUCUCAGCCUUUUCUCACAGGAGAGAUGUUCCAUUCCUUGGAUCAUUUUUGUGGCCCUCCUCUGGACACGUUCCAACAGGUCUAUGUCUCUCCAGUACAGUGGACUCCACAUCUGGACACGGUAUUCCAGUGGCUGUAUCAGAGGCUUCAAAGAGGUAAAACAUUCAGCACCUUGAGCAGGAAGAUGAGGGUGAAGAAAGGCAGAAGACUUUCAUAGAGAGCCCUUUGGUCUGCUUUGGCUGUCAAGUCUACUGCCAAAGUUAGUUUCUGGAAAGUGUUGAUGAAGACUGAAAUUAGCUGCCUUGGA
ensembl:lncRNA